rnacentral:lncRNA from 1 species
AUUGCAAUUCGUCUUCAUCACAUAACAUAACGGAUAUAACGUGUCACCAUUCUAUAUAAAACUGAGAAGUAUCUGCGAUUGGAAUUUAUUCGUAAAAAUGGUAAGCAUGUCUUGUGUACUUUGAAACAUCUAACACACAUUGGCUUUACACAAACAGUGAUAGAUGUAAUUAACAUAUUGAGAAUUUAAUAGCUUAUUACUAGAUAAUAUUGCAAUUCAUUUAACGGACAUAAUGUCAAAGCGUUUGAUUUGAUAAUUGUUUAUUAUUAAAUGUAAAUCUUUAAAAAAAAUCAAUAACUUUAAAAGGUAAGACAUAUCAUUAAUGACGCUUUAUUCUCUUCGAAAGAACAUGUUUAAGUUAAAUAGUAAUACCAGUAUGCUUUGAAAGAAAGAAAAAAACUUUUACAAGAUAUAUAGGUCUUUGAACAAAUCAAACGCCUCCUGAUAUACUACGUUUAAUUAUGUCUAAGUUUAAUAAUGUCUAACAAUGACAUUUAUAAAUUCAUUUUUGUGUGAUGACAUAUCACCGGAUAUUUCAACAACGGAUUUAAACAAGAGUAACAUAGGGGUGUCACUAAUGGAGCAGGAACUGUUUUAUAACUUUAAACACCUGAGUUAUUAGCUGGGUUUUUUUUGUGAGUUGAUUCUGGUCAUUUUUAUUUACCAACGUAGCAGUUUGAAGAGUUUUGGAGCGGAUUGGUUUUAUUUUAUAAUCAAAGAUUUGCUUUUCAAUAUCCAUUUGAUAUCUUUUGCCCGUUUUUGAUAAAUAAAUUAUUAAAUCAUUAAUUCAUUAUACGACCUACAUAUGUAUAAUGUUCGCUAGUAUGAAUACUGAUUAUUUGUAAUGAAAAUGAAAAUAAAAGGUGUGGUCUGAUUGCCUAUGAAAUAUCUUUUCACCAGAGACCAAAACCCGUUCGCAACAUAAGAUUACUGUAAGACCUUCAUAUGCAAAACAUCGUAGUUUGUGAAUUUUAUUCAGCACUCUUGUAUAUACAAAUUUUUAUUACUUAGUAAAGUGCACGUAUGAUACUCAACAGUCUUAAAAAUAAAUAGAGACACGGUGUGGUAUAAGUGCAAAUAAGACAACUCUCCAUCUACUUCACAAUGUGUAAAAAGUUAAACAAUUAUAGGUCAAAGUAAGUUUAUACUAAAACUACUUUCAAAUAGUGUCCUCGGAAAUUUCUCUUACGAAGCAGUUUUAUGUACAAAAAUAAAAAAUAGAGAACAUCUAUUAAAGAACAAAACCCAUAUGAUUCACUUUUGUUAAUCCUGAUGAUUGCGUGAUCAAGAUUUUAUAUCGUGUUUUUAAAUUUGAAAAAAGAAAUAAAAUCUGUACACUACAAUCAAGAAACUUUCAAAUGAUCUUCAAAACGAUGUUUUUCUUGUGACGUCAUUUUUUUCGUGACGCCACCACAGGAAAUUACUCGGAACGCAAAAAAAAAAGACGUCAUAAUCGAAUUUUGCUCAAAGAACAGCUGAGAUCAAACGAAACACAUGUUGAUUAAAAAAAUAAUCAGCAGGUCAGGAAAAGGAUAAAUCGGGAAGGAAUUAAAGAAAUUGUCAUAUCAAUAUAUCAAACAACAAAUUGAUUCUGCAAGCAUACUUUUUUGAAGAUUUAUUAGAUGCUUAGUGUGAUAUUUAAACGCCAUUUUCAUCACUAGUGGUUAGUUUAUGGCGUCCAUUUGAUAUUGGUGGACAGAAUUGAAUUGCCCGGUAACAUCUACCAAAAUUUUCAAGAAAAAUAAUUCAAUAAUAAAUAAAACCAAACGCACAUUUCACGUAGAACUGCUUAGACCAAACGGUCAUCUCAAAAUAAAAAUAAAUAAAAAAGACUUCGGCAUUUAUAAAAGGAAUUCUAACGCACCAAUAAUAAUAACUGAUGAUAGAUAAUUAUAAUUGAUAUACUUUAUACCAAGAGUCUGACAUUUAUUUGUUAUAAAUGUACCAGUUUGUAAUUUAUGAUAUUCAUGUAUUAAAUAGCGUUUUAACCGAGAACUAAGAUGUGUACAUGUGAAAAAGGAAACUAUUCGUGUAAUCAGUUUCCGUCAUUCAAUUUAGAAAUAUAAUGCACGGAAGAACAUUUUUAAUUCAUACGGAAAGAGAUAAUUAGUUUUGAAAAAAAUAGACAUAAACGUUGAAGUAGAAAAUGGCUUUAUAUAAUAAGUUAUCUACUUGUAAAAAUAUGAAAUUUAACAGUAAAUGUUUCAACAACAAUCUGGGGUGAUAGUAGAAGUGUGAUUUACAGGUCCUAUUAGGUUAAAAGUAACAAAAAAUUCAAAAAAGUUUUAGAAUUAAUCUUCAACCUUAUUUUUAUCAGCUGAAAAUAUACUAUUCACUUGAAUGUUAAUGAUCGUAGUAUUUAAAAGUUAAAGAGAUAAUACAUGCAUAGAAUAAAAUGCAAGGUUUGAAUAUUUGGUAAUUUUGUGUUAACGUCAUCAUCGUCAUAAUCAUCGGAUCAUGAUAUCCGCCAUUUGCAAAAAGAUAUACAAAUUACAUCUUAAAAUUAAACACUUAGUCGUCCGCAGUUAUAUACAGCAAUGACCAAACUUAUUCCGGCCUUACACAACAGUGUAUAGAUCCGAUGUACGCCGGGCGUGGUAAAAAAUCAUGUACGCUGCCAAUGCGCUAGUAACAUUGGAUGCAUUCAACCUGUCAAUUAUAUCUGUAUAAGCGUUUAUCGGGCGUUCAAGUAAUGUAUGUUGGCAUUGCGUUUGUCUAACGUAGAUGGAAUGCACGCUACGAGGGAAUAAAGGCUCUAGAACGUAUUUGAAACGCGUCCCGGUCGUAUCUAGGACGAUAAUCUAUGCUUUCGGUGUAUCUGGGACGUUUUAUUAUGAAGUGUUUGAUACAAACACACCCACAUACAUUUUAGUAAAAGUCGAACGAUCUUGAAGCGUAUACAACGUGCCUUAAACGGUUCUCAAACUUAUCUGUAACGUUUUUAAACGCGCUUGUAGCAUAUGUAUUACGUGCGUGUAGCGUACAGGUACACGCUAGACAAACGCUUGAGCUAAUUGAAAAUUUGUAUGCCGCAUAAACAUUUCCUGGAGUUAUAGCUUUCACCAAGCGUAUACCUUUGCAUGUCGACGGACUUCAAACUUAUGCAACGCACGUUUAACGAUUGCUUUGCGUUCACUUCACCUGGCGUACAACUAACGUAUACGGUCAAUUGUCUCUGUACAUCUGGGGCACAACGGUCUAUACGCCAAUUUGUGACACCGGUAUUUACAAAUGAUAUAGUUAAAAGAUAAAAAUAAAGUACGCUCCGAUAGGUUAGUGGAAAUUCAGUUUAGGUCAUUAUUCCAAAGGAAGAAAAUUAUUACUGUUUUGAAAAAGUCAAAAUUUAGUAAACAGUUAAGUUAUAACUAUAGCAUAUUAGUUCUUACUGAUGUUAACACAGAAGAGAUGACAUCUUGGCUGGUAAUACCCUCGGGGUGGAAACCUUCACCAAAAUACAUCUUUUGAUUUGAAAUGGUGACUGUGUUUUUUUCUAUCUAAUUCAAUUAUUUAUUUGUUAAUACAAUAUGUUUUCAUGAUGCCACGAACACAUCUGGAAAGAAAAGCUAUAGUGUAGUUGACAAGAAACACAAAAAUGUACAGUUCAUAUAGAUUACAGAUAUAUGAACCUAAACAUUUAAAUCAUGCAAACUAUCCUCAUAUAGGUAUGUAUAUAUCAAAAUGUGGACUUGACAUUAAGAAAAGACCUAAAUUGAUUGAUAUUUCGAAUGAAUUGUAAAGUUUACUACGAUUACUAAUUAAUUUUUGUUUUGGCUAAUAACAAAUCCGAAACAACACCUUAUGACAAUAAUGUAUUCGACUGGUCAAUCGAUUUUUGUUUUGUCAUCGGCAACAUAGCGAGUGUUUCUGAUGUUGGAACCUUUUCGGAGCAUCUGAGGUUCCGCCUUUUCGAUAGAUUCAUUUGUUUCUUUUAUCUGUAUAGUGUAUUCUUGAUUUGUUUGUUUUGCUAUGUAUUGAAAAUUUCGUCAAUUUAUUAAUGCUUCUUUUGAAUCAUUCCCUUUAAAUACAGAAUAAGGCUUACAACAAUUAUCAUGAAUAAAAACUGCACACGCACCCCUAUACACAGAUUUUUAUCAUGAAAACUUCCUUUUAAAAAUCAAAUGACAGAAUUUACGUGCUUACAACACGUGUUUCUGGUAUACUGUAAAACAAAAUAUUUUCGAGGAUACUUUAUUUCGCAUUUUACCCAGUUCAAUCCACUUCGCGGCUGUUUAAUUUCACGACUUUCUAAAAUAUUUGAUGUACAUGUAAUCUAUUAAGGAAAUAUCCAAGUUUUAUAUAUUCGCGACAUUUUAAUUUCACGUUAUUUUUCUACUCGCGGAAGUCGCGAUAAUAAACCGCUCGCAAAAAUAAGUUGGUAAACAGUUUAAUGAUUGAUCGGCAAUGAAACAUAUAUCGCUAAAUACAAAAUGAAGCAGUGGAGAAAAGAUAUAGGGUAUCAUAUGAUCCCAACAUGGUAAACUACUCAUACCAAAAAUUGCAACGAUUAUAAAGAAAACAACUGACAUGGCAAAAUGUCUAACAAUUCAAAAGUGAAAACCUAGGUAAAACGAAAAAGAAAAAAAAACAACCAUUACAUACAAGAAAACCGAUACCGAAACUCAUAACACUUAUCAGCAAACCAGUUUCUUGAAAUCUUUUUCUCCAAAUCAAUUCAUAACGUUUUUUGAGAGCAUCACAUCAAGAUAAGCAUUUAGUUGAUAAAUGAAAAUACCGUCAAAUGUCAAACAAGACCUAGACAUACAUGAUAAACAUAUCAUUUGAUUCACAAAAAUCCCGCAGAACUGGUAACUAGAUGGAUAGAAAACCUAUUUAACUGAUGGUCUGUCAGUAGUAAUAUCAAUACAGUUUUUAUAACAAAAACUGACUGACUGUUUUUUGUGCGCAUAACAUUUUUUUUAUAAAUAUUCAUCCUGUGUGCACGUGAUAAACACGUGAAAGUCGCACAUAUAGAACACCACACAAUAUCGCUGAUCCCAACUACCAUUCAUAUGGCACCCAUUCCUCUUUAAGCAACGAGGAAUGAAAAUUGAUACACAACAUUGAAGUAGCUACAAAAGGAUAAAACAAUGUGUUGCAAAUGAUAUAGUUGUGAUAGACAAACUAUAAAAAUAUGGAAGCGACAUGCAAAUACAGACGUCAAUCAAGGAGAUGAAAGUAUAAAUCCGAUAGGCACGUGUUGUUGACAUCAAAUUCAAUAGAAGCAUUGAUAAGUAUACAUAUUUAAGAUUUUAAAAAAGAAUAAAAGAAUAUAAAUCAAACAUGUUCUAUUUUUUUCUAAUUUCAUAGGAUUAACAAAACUUGGUCCAUCAGAACGAAAUUACUGCUCAUCUAUUGAAACUUGCAUUACUUGAAGCAUUUUAAAACAAGUAUUUCAUUUUUCUUAACUGAGCAGUAAAAAUGACGUCUAUGAAAGGACCGACACAAAGACAAGACGAUUAUUACUGAAUCAGAUGCAUUAUUUUGUUUUCUAAUAUAUUAUUGAGUAUAUGUUUAAGGUAAGUAUAAAGGAAUGUUAUAUUGUUGCUCUAAGGAAUAUACCAAAUAUAUUAGCUUGUGACAUACAUUUAAAAACAUAUAUGUACGAGGCUGUAUCUUCCGAUUGUUAAACAUGAAGCAAACACAAUUCAUCAAAAAGUUUAAAAACAAAAUACUCG